CAGUAGCCACGGGAAUACGAAGGGGGCUAGCGUUGCUCGGAAUUACUGGGCGUAAAGGGCGCGUAGGCGGACAGUUCAGUCGGGGGUGAAAGCCCGGGGCUCAACCUCGGAAUUGCCUUCGAUACUGGCUGUCUUGAGUAUGAGAGAGGUGUGUGGAACUCCGAGUGUAGAGGUGAAAUUCGUAGAUAUUCGGAAGAACACCAGUGGCGAAGGCGACACACUGGCUCAUUACUGACGCUGAGGCGCGAAAGCGUGGGGAGCAAACAGGAUUAGAGACCCGCGUAGUCCCUGUCUCUUAUAC
rnacentral:rRNA from 1 species